rnacentral:lncRNA from 1 species
UAAAAAUACAAAAGUUAGCUGGGUGUGGUGGCUCGCGCCUGUAAUCCCAGCUACUCAGGAAGCUGAGAUAGGAGAAUCGCUUGAACCCGGGAAGCAGAGGUUGCAGUGAGCUGAGAUCGUGUUAUUGCACUCCAGCCUGGGCAACAAGAGUGAAACUCUGUGUCAAAAAAAAAAAAAAAAAAAAAAGUAACCAAAUGACAUCAGGAGUGGCCAUAUGUUAGGCAAAAUAGGUUUUAAGCCAACAAUGGUUAUGAGAGACAAGGGAAUUCUAUACUGAUGAAAAGUUUAAUCCAACAAGAAGAUAUAACAAUUUAAACAUAUAUGCACCUAACAACAGAGCACCAAAACAUAUGAAGCAAGAAAGGGUAGAAUUGAAGGGAAAAGAAGAGUUUCACAGUGAUCAUUGGUGACCUCACUACCUCAACUUUAUAACAAUCAGAGACCAGAUCAAUAGGAAAGAGAGCACUUGAACAACAUGAUAAUCCAACUAGAUCUAAUGGACAUUUACAGAUACCCACCCAACAACAGCAAAAUACACAUUCUUUUCAAGAGCAUGUGGGACAUUGUCCAGAGUAUAUAGUGUAUUAGGCUGCAAAACAAGUAUUAAUGUUUUAAAAGAUUGAAAGUAUCCAAAGUGCUAAGUAUUUUAUAAUCGUCAUGGAAUGAAACUAGACAUCAGUAACCAGCAAAACUCGAAAACUCACAAAUAUAUGGAAAGUAAACACACUCUUAAACAAUCACUGGUUGAAGAUGAAAUCAUACAGGAAAUUAGAAAACACUUUGAGAUGAAUAAAAAUGAAAACACAACAUACCAGAAUUUAUGGGAUGCAGUUAAAGCAGUGCUCAGAGGGAAAUGUAUAGCUGUAAGCAUCUACCUUUAAAAAUAAGAAAGCCAGGAGUGGUGGCUCAUGUCAACAUCCCAGCAUUUUGGGAGGCCGAAGCGGGAGGAUCACCUGAGGUCAGGAGUUCAAGACCAGUCUAACCAACAUGGCAAAAGCCCAUUGCUACUAAAAAUACAAAAAUUAGCCAGGCAUGGUGGUGCAGGCCUGUAAUCCCAGCUACUUGGGAGGCUGGGGCAGGAGAAUUCCUUGAACCUGGGAGAGGGAGGUUGCAGUGAGCCGAGAUUGCACCACUGCAUUCCAGCCUGGGUGACAGAGUGAGACUCCAUCUCAAAAAAUAAAUAAAAAUAAAAAUUAAAAGAAAGCUCUCAAAUCAGUCACCUAACUAUACACUUUAAAGGAUCUAGAAAAGAAGAGCUAAACCCAAGCUAGCAGAAUACGGGAAACAAAGAUUACAGUGAAAAUAAAUAAAGAAUAGGAAAAGAAGAGAAUAGGUAGAAUUAAAACUUUUUUACAGGUCAGCAAAAUCGACAAGUUUUUAGCUAGAUUUACUAAGAAAAAAAAAAGAAAACUCAAAUAGCCAAAAUCAGAAUGAAAAUGAGGACAUUACUGUAACUUUACAGUAAUUAAAGUGAUUAUAAGAGAAUACUAUAAACAUAGGUACAGCAGCAAAUUGAAUAACCAAAUGAAAUGGCAAAUCUCUAGAAACACAAAACCUACCAAGACUAAAUCACAAAUAAAUAAAAAAUAUGGGUAAACUGGCCGGGCAAGGUGGCUCACGCCUAUAAUCCCAGCACUUUGGGAGGCCGAGGUGGGCAGAUCACCUGAGGUCAGGAGUUAGAGACCAGCCUGGCCAACAUGGUGAAAUCCUGUCUCUACUAAAAAUGUAAAAAAUAGUUGGGCAUGGUGGUAGGCACCUGCAAUCCCAGCAACUCGGAGGCUGAGGCAGG